rnacentral:rRNA from 1 species
CCUACGGGUGGCUGCAGUAGGGACUUUUCGUCAAUGGGCGCAAGCCUGAUCGAGCGAUGCCGCGUGAGUGAAGAAGGCCUUCGUGUCGUAAAGCUCUGUUGCGGGGGAAAAAAGGCAGCAUCAGGAAAUGGGUGCUGACUGCUGGUGCCCCGCCAGAAAGUCACGGCUAACUACGUGCCAGCAGCCGCGGUUAUACGUAGGUGGCGAGCGUUAUCCGGAAGGAUUGGGCGUAAAGGGUGCGCAGGCGGUCCUGCAAGUCUGGAGUGAAACGCAUGGGCUCACCUCAUGCAUGGCUUUGGAAACUGGAGAACUGGAGAGCAGGAGAGGGCGGUGGAACUCCAUGUGUAGCGGUAAAAUGCGUAGAUAUAAGGAAGAACACCAGUGGCGAAGGCGGCCGCCUGGACUGUUGCUGACGCUGAGGCACGAAAGCGUGGGGAGCAAAUAGGAUUAGAUACCCCUGUAGUC